GUUUCUGUAGUGUAGCGGUCAUCACGUUCGUCUCACACGCGGAAGGUCCCCAGAUCAAAUCUGGGCAGAAAUU